UAGAGAAAUAGGAAUUGCCCACUAAUUUUUCUGUUUUCUUUUUUCUAAAUUUUUCUUUUUUUUUUUUCUAUCUUUUCUC
rnacentral:ribozyme from 12 species